UGCCAGCAGCCGCGGUAAUACGUAGGGUGCGAGCGUUAAUCGGAAUUACUGGGCGUAAAGCGUGCGCAGGCGGUUUUGUAAGACAGGCGUGAAAUCCCCGAGCUCAACUUGGGAAUGGCGCUUGUGACUGCAAGGCUAGAGUAUGUCAGAGGGGGGUAGAAUUCCACGUGUAGCAGUGAAAUGCGUAGAGAUGUGGAGGAAUACCGAUGGCGAAGGCAGCCCCCUGGGACGUCACUGACGCUCAUGCACGAAAGCGUGGGGAGCAAACAGGAUUAGAUA
rnacentral:rRNA from 1 species